CAAUAAAUAAAUAUUCUGCGGCAUCACUUAUGGGCUUUUAAAAGGUGUAUUGGGGAGAAAAUUGCCUUUCCCGCGUACUGUCAUAGUUGGCGAGCGUGACUGUGGUCAAUGUUGGUACCAUUUUUUCUUAUUAAAAUGUUUGUGUAUGGUUUGAGUGGUUUUAGUGGUGAAAAUUGUUGCUGGUGAGCCAAAAAUGCAGUAUUUUGACUUUGUGAAGCCGCAACGACUUUAUUUUUGGAAGGAUUUUGGAAUCUACAGCAUACAAUGAAGACAUGAUGGAAUUCAAGGGAAGGGAGUGACAAUGCUACUACCUUCCGCCUUCGACGCUGCUUUAGAACAAAUAAAAACUCUUAAUCGAAUCCGGUAAUGGGGUUGAAUGCUGUCAUUAUGUUAUGUUGGGGCGUCAUAGCCGGCUGCUUUUAACUGAAUAAAUUUAUCGAAUUAA